CAGUUGAUGUAUUGCCCUAAGUAAAGACACGAAUCUCAUAGGUGAAGAAGCGCCACUAGGCUUGCUGUUUAGCCAAUUAUCCGGCUACAAGGGACGUCUACUGCCAUGGGUUAGCGGCAUUGCUAUAUCAGUGUGUUUUUUUUUUUGCUUUUUGGAUUGUUUGAAGAUAAAUUAACUACUAAAUUGGUCAACUAACAAGGAUUUCUGGACGCCAGGAGUUAGACACCAUUGGUGUAACUGAGAAGAACUAGAACUGAUCAACUAGCAUAUACGCACUGAAGGUGCGCGUGAAAUGUCAUGUGAUCACGUCUCUCUGUCAGAGCCCGGAUAGCUCAGUCGGUAGAGCAUCAGACUUUUAAUCUGAGGGUCCAGGGUUCAAGUCCCUGUUCGGGCGGCAUGAUUUUCCUAUUCGGUCGAUUAUGUCCUCAACUCUUAGGUGUAUCCUACACCAGUGUUACCAGCCAAAGUUACCAGCCAUUUCAGAAGUUAAGGUACUAUACCCUUAUACACUUUUAAGAAUUGGUACAAUAUUACCUGUUUCACAAACUAUGCCAGAAUCCUCCACUUCCUGAGUAACAGCACACACCACCCUGACAUAAGUGAACUUAGGCAGUGGGAAAAAAGGGCCUCCAUUUGCAGAUCAGCAAAGAAUUGCUAAAUACACACCGUACAAUGCGAUGUUUUGUCGUCACCCACGCUGUCCUGAUGUCACGGAACGAACCGACUUCGAGAUAGGAAUAGUUGGAACAGAGUUUAUUGCAGACAGAGACAGCCAGGAACACACAGGACAGACAACAGGUUGCAGACACGGAGAUGCAGAUGCAGACACGGAGAUACUGAGGGGUUCAUCCUCGAGAGCACAGUCACAACCCACGGCAGGGCGCAGGCUCGUAAGCACUGCUGGGAACUGCGGGAACUGGCGAUUCAAUCGCAGAAAUGAUAUAAGCCGAAGCAACCUCUGAACAACCUAACUAUAAAUGAAAAUGCCGUUGCGGCAAACUAAACACGAGUCACACUCGGCAAGGCACUAACUAAACAAGAACUAAGCUGAUAAGCUAAACGAGAACUUAGGCGGUAAACGUAACUGACACAAACUAUGGGGGGAGAGUAAGUAAUCCUCAUGCAAGUCGGGCCGCGGGAAACCCACAGUUUGUGAAUCCGUUGAAGUGCGAUACCAGACACCUGAGUGAAGGGAGUGUGAGGUAUAUGUAGGGGCUGUGACAGGUGUGGGUGAUUAUGAACCCGGUGACUGUAAACGCGGUGCAGGUGAGUGAGGAUACAGGUGUACGUGAUCAGUAUUCCGGUGAGUGAAGCGAGAGAGUGGAACAGGUGUAUGUGCUUGUGUGAUUGGGGACCUGAAUGCAGCUGAUGCGCGUGCCGCUGGAGAGUUCGAUGCUGAAGGGGGCGUGGCCGGAGCGGAGCUCCACAGGAACGUGACACCUGAGGUCCUCAAUAUGGUGGAACCUCUGUCCGAACAAUUUGUU
ensembl:lncRNA